GCGACAGGCCUAACACAUGCAAGUCGAGGGGCAGCACAAGGAGCAAUCUGAGGUGGCGACCGGCGCACGGGUGAGUAACACGUAUGCAACCUGGCUGUAAGAGGGGGAAUAACCCGGAGAAAUCCGGACUAAUACCGCAUAAUACUUAGAAUCCGCAUGGACUUUAAGUUAAACAUUUAUGGCUUACAGAUGGGCAUGCGUAUGAUUAGCUGGUUGGAGAGGUAACGGCUCCCCAAGGCAACGAUCAUUAGGGGUUCUGAGAGGAAGGUCCCCCACACUGGUACUGAGACACGGACCAGACUCCUACGGGAGGCAGCAGUGAGGAAUAUUGGUCAAUGGACGCAAGUCUGAACCAGCCAAAAGUCGCGUGAAGGAAGAAUGUCCUAUGGAUUGUAAACUUCUUUUGAAGGGGAAUAAAGUACGGUACGUGUACCGUUUUGUAUGUGCCCUUCGAAUAAGGAUCGGCUAACUCCGUGCCAGCCGCCGC
rnacentral:rRNA from 1 species